GCAGGCUCCUCCCUGUUCACCGGGGCCAGGCUCAGAGCAGGAGGAGCUGGGAGAUCCUGCCCCUCCAUGACCCCAGCACUGGCUCUGCUGCUCCCCUGCAGGACACAGACGUCUCCUGUCUCUGCCCCCAGCUCUGAGCCUCAGGCCUGGGGAGGGGAGGCAGCUGCGAGGCCCAGCACUGGCAGCAUCACACCCACCUUCCACUGAGACCCAGGAGCAAAGGCUGGGGGAUUGGAAGACAAAGAGGAGACCAGCCCCACAACCAGGGGGAUCCCCAAAGUUUGGGGAAGAAGAGCCCCUGAGAGGAGGGCGACCAUGUGACCCUGUUGGCAGGGCCUGUUCCAGAAACACUGGUGCUGGACACCUGCCACCACUUGGCUGAGGGUAACGCUGGUGUCAGAACAGGACACUGGUGCUAGAAGAAGGAGCAACACUACAUACAGACAUUCCCUGCCCUGAGGAUCCUACAAUAUAAAUAGACCAGACAGGUAAAAGCUCUGUGGCCAUCAGGGAUAACAUGACCCCCUCCUUCUCAGAAUUCUGUCCCUUCGCAAAAGAGGUUUCCUAGAAACACAAGAGGAAAUCGAAGCCUCCACUUACAACUCUGAUCCUUAAUCUUCUAUGCUGAUGAAGGAGAGUAAGAGCACUUAGAACACCUACAAACAACUACUGUCACCACUGUUCCCUCUAAUUUUCCCCACUCAUAUGUGGAAUGAAUCUUGUUAUGUACACCAAUAUAGAGGAGAUGUGUGAUAAAUCACCUCCAUAUUGGUGCACAUAAAAUUAAUGGUGUGGGGCUGAGGGGUGCGGAGUAUGUGUGGGAGGGCUCAGGGUAGGGCAGAGGGUUGGGUUGUGGGGGGAUGAGGAAUCUGGCUGGGGGUGAGGGCUCUGGGCUGGGGCUGGGGCUGGGAAUGAGGGGUUUGGGGUGUGGGAGGGGGCUCAGGGCUGGGCAGAGGGUUGGGUUAGGUCAGCUCUUCAGCUGAUUACAUCUGCUGCCAUAUUGCAUAAGAAGAGAUGUGGUUUCUCAGGCAUCCAUCACCCAUUCCAUUUACGGUUUUAUAGAUGAAAAAGGGACCUCUACAUUUUGCAUAAAAUCAGUAGGAAACCAGUGCAGACAAUACAGCACAAAUGUGUCAAUGUACCACUUUAUAAAUAGGCAUCUACAGUCUACCCUAGCUGAAGUUUCUGAAUUGUCUUGUAUGAUCCCAAACAGAGCACACUGCAGUAAUUCAAUUUCAAGGUGAUAAAGAGCUCCAGAAUUGUGAUUAGGUCUGCAUCUGAAAGGAAAGGUUGGAAUCUUCUUGACAUGUGCAGAUGGGGAAAAAAUAAAACCCCACACUCUUGACCAGAUACAGGGAUCAUCUUUGACACUGACAAAUUAAUACAAGGCUAUUGGCAAAUUAAUGCAGGGCUACUGUUAAAGCUCUUUAGUGGUAUUUAAAAUCAGAACUAAGGUAAAAAGCAAUCUAGGAUGUGCUUAUUUACUGGCAGAUGGAAAUAUAUCCCCAUGACUGCAAGCUGCACUGCCCAAUUUCUCUGCUCCAUCUCUUGUCACCUUUUUAAGCUUCCCCUUCUGUGAUUUAGAAACCAUAAAGCACACUGGGAAGUGGAUCUCAUACUCUUAAGAUUUCCUAGAGGCUGGAAAUAUUGCAAUAUUAUAUAUAUACACCCCUUGGAUUUUUUCCCUUUCAGUCCAAAUGUUAUAGGGAGAGUACAGCAUCUUAGGAAAACACCGUCAUUUGGGGACAGAUUUAUAUGAUAUUUUGGUAUUUUAUUUUUGGAUUUAAAUGAAGGGGAAUGAACUUUGUAUUCAGUAUAUGCGUAAAACAUUUGUUGUUUGAACACUUGACUGAUGAACUGCUGCGUACAUAGGUACGUGGUUCUGGGGGAAUUAAUAAACUAUUGGUCAGUCAAGAGCCCCAAGUAUCCUCAUCUGAGAAAUACUGUUCAGAUUAAAAGCUGACCUGAAAAGAACCUAGCAUUAAAAUUAGUCUGCUAACGCUCCCUGGACUCAAUAAGAGGUUCUCCUAAUUAAAUUCAUUGGCUACAACACAUUUCAACUUGGCUAACCUAGUUUGUUACAUUUCAGUUUUAAAAUCUCAUUGGCCCCCUGGCAAAUUCAUAAAAUAGCCCCAUAUUGACACUUACAGCUGUGCGUUAUGCAUGGCAUUUUUGGCAUUUCAUAUUGUAUGGUAUUAGGACAGCGUCCCUUAUAUACAAUCACAACAUGUGCAGCAAUUUCAUCUCUAUUAUUAAAUUGUAAUGAGCUUCCUCUCCCCCAGUGGCUGGCCUGCAGGGGGUCAUGGCAACAGAGAGACUGAGGGAAUGGGAAAUUGAAACAAAGCAUUCGUGUGGUACUGGUGCAGCCUGUCACCAGCUCCAGGGGAAACAGGCACUGCUGUGUUAGGGCUCAUGAUAUUUUGUAUUGUAUAGAACGUGGUCUAACCUCAUUCCUUCCAAUACCUGUGAUGUUACAAUAUAUUUUGCACCAAUAUGGGUUUAUGUUGGGAGCACCUGGGAUUUUUCCCCUGACCAGCCCUCUAGAAUUACUUUGUCAUGCUGUUGUAAAGUUGGCCAUUUUUUGUUUCUUAUCUGAGCUUGUCAAACUUUGUUUUUGAAAUGGGUAGUAUUGGAGCCAAACUCUUUCUCUUUCUGCUCCCUGAUUUCACUAUUUAUAAAGGCCCUUGCAAGUACAGCUGCUUUAAGAAGCUCCAUUCUGGGCCUUUAUGUCACAUUAAUGACAUUCUGGGCCUUUAUGUCACAUUAAUCACUUCUGCAAAGCCAUAAUCAUUUUCUGACAUAUAGGCUGUAGUAACUCAGAACCCUCCCAGUCUUGUGUCUCAUGUUUACCAGCUGAGGAUUUUUGCUACAGGCAGUCCCCAAUGGGCUGCAUGCUACUGUAGGCAAUCCCAUCAUACCACCCCCUUCGUACACUAAUCCAGCUCAGUUUUGAAGUCAGUUAGGGUUUUUGCCCUCACUGCUCCCCUUUGAAGGCUCUUCCAGAAUUUCACUUCUCAGAUAGUUGGAAACCUUCUUCUAAUUUCAAGCCUAAACUUGUUGAUUGCCAGUUUGUAUCUAUUUCUUCUUGGGUCAACAUUGGCACUUAAUUUAAAUAACUCCUCUUCCUCCCUGGUAUUUAUCCCUCUGAUGUAUUUAUAGAGAGCAAUCAUAUCUCCCCUCAGCCUUCUUUUGGUUAGGCUACACAAGCCAUGCUUCCUGAGUCUCCUCUCAUAAGGUAUGUUUUCUAUUCCAAGGAUCAUCCUAGUAGCUCUUCUCUGCCCCUGUCCCAGAUUGAAUUCAUCUUUCUUAAACUUGGGAAACCAGAAUUGUACACAGUAUUCCAGAUGAGGUUUCACCAGUGCAGAAUAGAGGGGAAUAAUCACUUCCCUCGAUGUGCUGGCAGUGCUCCUACUAAUGCUACCCAAUAUGCCAUUAGCCUUCUUGGCAAUAAGGGCACACUGUUGACCCAUAUCCAGCUUCUUGCCCACCGUCAUCCCCAAGUUCUUUUCUGCAGAACUGCUGCUUAGCCAGUCAGUCCCCAGCCUAUAGCAGUGGAUGGGAUUCUUCCAUCCUAAAUGCAGGACUCUGCACUUGUCCUUGUUGAACCUUAUCAGAUUUCUUUUGGCCCAAUCCUCCAAUUUGUCUAGGUCACUCUGGACCCUAUCCCUACCCUCCAGAGUAUCUACCUCUCCCCCAGCUUAGUGUCAUCUGCAAACUUGCUGAGGGUGCAAUCCAUCCCAUCAUCCAGAUCAUGAAUGAAGAUGUUGAUCAAAACCAGCCCCAGGAACGACCCUUGGGGCACUCCACUUGACACUGGUUUCCAGCUACACAUGAGCUGUUGAUCACUACCCAUUGCACCCGAUGAUCUAGCCAGCUUUCUAUCCACCUUAUAGUCCAUUCAUCCAAUCCAUACUUUUUUAACUUGCUGGAAAGAAUACUUUUGUGUUGGUCAGUCAUUUUUAAAAUCAGUUCUGGAGCUACAAUAGGAAUGAUCAUGUUUCUCUAACCCAGAGAGUUUACUUUAAUUUACCCACUAAAGUA